AUUGAACGCUGGCGGCAUGCUUUACACAUGCAAGUCGAACUGUAACAGGUUAAGCUGACGAGUGGCGAACGGGUGAGUAAUGCAUCGGAACGUGCCCGAUCGUGGGGGAUAACGCAGCGAAAGCUGCGCUAAUACCGCAUACGAUCUGAGGAUGAAAGCGGGGGACCGUAAGGCCUCGCGCGAUCGGAGCGGCCGAUGUCAGAUUAGGUAGUUGGUGGGGUAAAGGCCCACCAAGCCGACGAUCUGUAGCUGGUCUGAGAGGACGACCAGCCACACUGGGACUGAGACACGGCCCAGACUCCUACGGGAGGCAGCAGUGGGGAAUUUUGAACAAUGGGCGAAAGCCUGAUCCAGCAAUGCCGCGUGCAGGAAGAAGGCCUUCGGGUUGUAAACUGCUUUUGUACGGAGCGAAAAGGUCCUUUCUAAUACAAGGGGCUCAUGACGGUACCGUAAGAAUAAGCACCGGCUAACUACGUGCCAGCCGCCGCAGUAA
rnacentral:rRNA from 1 species